rnacentral:rRNA from 1 species
GCCAGCAGGAGCGGUAAUACGAGAGCCUCGAGCGUUAUCCGGAAUUAUUGGGCGUAAAGGGUGCGUAGGUUGUUCUGUUAGUCUUUUGUUAAAGACCCGGGCUUAACCUGGAGACCGCAAAAGAAACGGCAGAACUUGAAAGUGCGAGAGGCGUACGGAACUCAUGGUGUAGGGGUGAAAUCCGUUGAUAUCAUGGGGAACACCAAAUGCGAAAGCAGUACGCUGGUGCAUAUUUGACACUGAAGCACGAAAGCGUGGGUAGCGAAUGGGAUUAGAUACCCCAGUAGUCCACGCCCUAAACGAUGAUUUCUCGCUAUUCGGAGUAUCGACCCUCUGAGUGGCUUAGCUAACGCGUUAAGAAAUCCGCCUGGGAAGUACGGCCGCAAGGCUAAAACUCAAAGGAAUAGACGGGGACUUGCACAAGCAGUGGAUUAUGUGGUUUAAUUCGAUGGUAAACGAAGAACCUNAAGUACGGCCGCAAGGCUAAAACUCAAAGGAAUAGACGGGGACUUGCACAAGCAGUGGAUUAUGUGGUUUAAUUCGAUGGUAAACGAAGAACCUUACCAAGGUUAGAAAUCCUAGUGAAAGCUCGCAGAAACGCGAGGCCUCGCAAGACUCUAGGACAGGUGAUGCAUGGCCGUCGUCAGUUCGUGGUUUGAAUUGUUCCCUUAAGUGGGGUAACGAACGCAACCCUUGUUGUGUGUUAUAAGUGUCACACGAUACUGCCCCGAACUUUGAGCACAAGCUAAAGUUCUAGUUAAAAGUUUUUAAAGUUCAUGAAGUAUAAAGUAAAUGCAUUUUGUAUUCAACUUUAUAAAUUUCUACUUUUUACUUUAUAACUUGAACUUUGUUUGCGAACAAAGUUCGGGGAGGAAGGAGAGGAUGACGCCAGGUCAGCAUGUCCCUUGAUACCUUGGGCUACACACAUAAUACAAUGACCGUUACAACGCGCAGCGACGAGGCGACUCUGAGCUAAUCGUUCAAAAGCGGCCUCAGUUCGGAUUGAAGUCUGCAACUCGACUUCAUGAAGCUGGAAUUGCUAGUAAUCACAGGUCAGCUAAACUGUGGUGAAUACGUUCUCAAGUCUUGUACUCACCGCCCGUCAAGUCAAGGGAGCCGGGAUAAGGUAAGCUCGGUGACAGGGACUAAGUCGUAACAAGGCACGGCUAGCGGAAGCUGGUCGUGGAAUAAUUCAA